rnacentral:rRNA from 1 species
UACAGAGGUGGCAAGCGUUGUUCGGAAUUACUGGGCGUAAAGGGCGCGUAGGCGGUCUUGUAAGUCUUGUGUGAAAUCCCUCGGCUCAACUGAGGAACUGCACGGGAUACUGCGAGACUUGAGUUCGGGAGAGGGAAGCGGAAUUCCGGGUGUAGCGGUGAAAUGCGUAGAUAUCAGGAGGAACACCGGUGGCGAAGGCGGAUCUCUGGGCCAUUACUGACGCUGAGGAGCGAAAGCGUGGGGAGCGAACAGG